rnacentral:rRNA from 1 species
UUGACAUCCACGGAAUUUGGCAGAGAUGCCUUAGUGCCUUCGGGAACCGUGAGACAGGUGCUGCAUGGCUGUCGUCAGCUCGUGUUGUGAAAUGUUGGGUUAAGUCCCGCAACGAGCGCAACCCUUAUCCUUUGUUGCCAGCGAUUCGGUCGGGAACUCAAAGGAGACUGCCGGUGAUAAACCGGAGGAAGGUGGGGAUGACGUCAAGUCAUCAUGGCCCUUACGGCCAGGGCUACACACGUGCUACAAUGGCGCAUACAAAGAGAAGCGACCUCGCGAGAGCAAGCGGACCUCAUAAAGUGCGUCGUAGUCCGGAUUGGAGUCUGCAACUCGACUCCAUGAAGUCGGAAUCGCUAGUAAUCGUAGAUCAGAAUGCUACGGUCGAAUACGUUCCCGGGCCUUGUACACACCGCCCGUCACACCAUGGGAGUGGGUUGCAAAAGAAGUAGGUAGCUUAACCUUCGGGAGGGCGCUUACCACUUUGUGAUUCAUGACUGGGGUGAAGUCGUAACAAGGUAGGCGUAGCGAG